AAUACAUGCAAGUCGAACGAGCUUCCGUUGAAUGACGUGCUUGCACUGAUUUCAACAAUGAAGCGAGUGGCGAACUGGUGAGUAACACGUGGGGAAUCUGCCCAGAAGCAGGGGAUAACACUUGGAAACAGGUGCUAAUACCGUAUAACAACAAAAUCCGCAUGGAUUUUGUUUGAAAGGUGGCUUCGGCUAUCACUUCUGGAUGAUCCCGCGGCGUAUUAGUUAGUUGGUGAGGUAAAGGCCCACCAAGACGAUGAUACGUAGCCGACCUGAGAGGGUAAUCGGCCACAUUGGGACUGAGACACGGCCCAAACUCCUACGGGAGGCAGCAGUAGGGAAUCUUCCACAAUGGACGAAAGUCUGAUGGAGCAAUGCCGCGUGAGUGAAGAAGGGUUUCGGCUCGUAAAACUCUGUUGUUAAAGAAGAACACCUUUGAGAGUAACUGUUCAAGGGUUGACGGUAUUUAACCAGAAAGCCACGGCUAACUACGUGCCAGCAGCCGCGGUAAUACGUAGGUGGCAAGCGUUGUCCGGAUUUAUUGGGCGUAAAGCGAGCGCAGGCGGUUUUUUAAGUCUGAUGUGAAAGCCUUCGGCUUAACCGGAGAAGUGCAUCGGAAACUGGGAGACUUGAGUGCAGAAGAGGACAGUGGAACUCCAUGUGUAGCGGUGGAAUGCGUAGAUAUAUGGAAGAACACCAGUGGCGAAGGCGGCUGUCUAGUCUGUAACUGACGCUGAGGCUCGAAAGCAUGGGUAGCGAACAGGAUUAGAUACCCUGGUAGUCCAUGCCGUAAACGAUGAGUGCUAAGUGUUGGAGGGUUUCCGCCCUUCAGUGCUGCAGCUAACGCAUUAAGCACUCCGCCUGGGGGAGUACGACCGCAAGGGUUGAAACUCAA
rnacentral:rRNA from 1 species